GAGGCCUAGCAGACCAAGUGAAGUUAAGUCCAGCAUCCUGACUGCUACAAGCAAUAGACGUGGCUAGGGCAUUUGGCAUGGUGAAGAGAGGAAAAAUCAAAAGGGGUGGGAGUUGUUAUUGACCUCUUCUAGUUAAUCGCAA